CCUACGGGGGGCAGCAGUGGGGAAUAUUGGACAAUGGGCGAAAGCCUGAUCCAGCCAUGCCGCGUGUGUGAAGAAGGCCUUCGGGUUGUAAAGCACUUUCAGUGGGAAGAAAGCCUUGGGGCUAAUACCCUCGAGGAAGGACAUCACCCACAGAAGAAGCACCGGCUAACUCCGUGCCAGCAGCCGCGGUAAUACGGAGGGUGCGAGCGUUAAUCGGAAUUACUGGGCGUAAAGCGCGCGUAGGCGGUCUGAUAAGCCGGUUGUGAAAGCCCCGGGCUCAACCUGGGAACGGCAUCCGGAACUGUCAGGCUAGAGUGCAGGAGAGGAAGGUAGAAUUCCCGGUGUAGCGGUGAAAUGCGUAGAGAUCGGGAGGAAUACCAGUGGCGAAGGCGGCCUUCUGGACUGACACUGACGCUGAGGUGCGAAAGCGUGGGUAGCAAACAGGAUUAGAUACCCCAGUAGUC
rnacentral:rRNA from 1 species